rnacentral:rRNA from 1 species
UACAGAGGUGCCAAGCGUUAGGCGGAAUCACUGGGCUUAAAGCGCGCGUAGGCGGAUGUUUAAGUGUCUUGUGAAAUCCCACGGCUCAACCGUGGAACUGCUGGGCAUACUGGACAUCUCGAGGCACUCAGGGGCGAGCGGAACAAGUGGUGGAGCGGUGAAAUGCGUAGAUAUCGGAAGGAACACCGGUGGCGAAAGCGGCGUGCUGGAUCCCUACUGACGCUGAGGCACGAAAGCCAGGGGAGCAAACGGG